rnacentral:lncRNA from 1 species
GAGUUGUCUAGUGAGUUCUCAGUAGGGAAUGCCUAUAAACUAUUACAAGAGACUAGCGAGGAUCCUAGUAAUAUUAAUUUACAGACCGCGACUAAUAACUUUUACAGAAAAUUGUAGAACCUAUACAUCCCUUCAAAAGUUACAUUAACAGUAUAGAGAAUAUCUUGGAAUUUCAUCCCUUUAUUAUUCAAUCUCAAGCAGAAGAAAGCAAUAGAUAACGCUUUUUGCCCUCGAUGCUGACAAAAUGAGGAAGACAGUUACCAUAUUUUUCAUUAGUGUCCUACGACAAGAGAGGUUUGGAAUCAUUUAAAGCUCUCAUGGGUACUUAAUCGUAAUUACCAGAAUAUGUGAGAAUGGCUUACAUGGGUUUUUAGCCAGGGAAUGACUAAACAGAUUCGCUAUUUUUGCUACGGACUUUGGCUAGUUUGGUUUAACGUGAAUCGGUUAAUAUAUGAUAAAAUAAAUGUGUCAGGGAGGGACAUUGCGAAACAAACUUACAGUUAUAUUUCUGAGUUGAACAGGAUCAAAGAGAAGAGACUUAUUGUUCAGUCUAGUGGAGGUGUUGUACAGAAAAGAAGAAGAUCAGGAGCACAAUUUAUGUAAUACCCCUACCCGUAUUCAUUGCCGGAAUAGGGUACCAGCUAUUACCGAAGUUUACGAUUUUUUUUUAUAUUCAAUAUAGCCCCUUUAUAAAUAUCUAACAUUCCCUGCAAUAUUAAAUCGAGACCAAUCCACAUCAACCAAACCAAUUCAACAUAUUUUCAAGAUAAAUUCAUGCAUAUUUAUAAAAUAACGUCAUCACAUACCCAAAACCAGGUUUGUUAACCAUACUAAUGGCUAACUUUUUAUUCAUUUCACGUUAACAUUUACUUUAUUAGCUUAUACAUGCCAUUGAUUUCCAAAACAAAGUUUCUUUAUAUAUCGAAAUCCUGAGGUUGAUAUUAUGAUGUGUCUCCGACCAAAUCCGACCUCCGAGCUCUUAACACUACAAAAUAGGGGAAAAUAAAACAGGGUAAGCACUUUAUCCUUAAUAAGCUCUUGUAACAAGAAUUAUACUUACCUAAUAUUUUCAAUACAAUACAAUAAACAUUCAUAAAUCCAUUCAAUGCAUUAUUACCCUAACAUGCACAAACUCAACAUUCAAGUUAGUACAAUAAUUUCCAUUAACCAAUAAUAUAUACCAUGAUUGAUGAGCUCAUUAAUACCAUGAUUUUCAUUCCCUUGUUAUUUUUCAAUAUUUAUCCUGUUGAAUUUCUCAAAAUUUCAAUGGAUUUUUCAGAGGUACACUUUUAGUGUACAAUUUUAGGGUCUGUCAAUUCAUAUUCAUGUGUGCACAUUUUCAUUUUAGAGAGCACACUCCCGCGAACCUCAUCUUUACAGCGAGAUUACCAGUCCAGGCUAAAUCCCUUAUAAUAUAAACUUAUAGAGUAUUAUCGGGAUUACCAAUCCAGGCUAAAUCCCCUGCAACGACAAUUACUCUAAUGAGUUUGGAUCUGAAUUACCAGUUCAGGCUAAAUUCAGACCCUAAUUUGGAUUACCCGUCCGGACUAAAUCCAUUUUCCACAUUUUUCGGGAGGACUAUAUCAAGAUAGGAUCACCCGUCCGGGCUAGAUCUUUUUUACCGUCAAUUCCUUCUUAGAGAUUCAUCGAAUUUUCAUUCCAUCCAACAGGGAUUUCUUCCGGUUUUUAUCAAAUAUAUCAAUGUUUCAUCAAUUUUCAUACAAUAAACAUUCAAAUCAUAUUCACAUCAAUAACAUACAUUUCAAGCAUUUAAGAAUAAAAUUCAAGUUACACGAACUUACAUUGAUACUUGUUCGUGUACAAAAAUCUAUUAAUCCUGAACUUUUUCCUUUCCUCGAUCUAGCUUCUUAUUUGAAUAUUCUGGAUCUAAAUAAAUAAAUUUAAUUAUCAAUUUAAUACAUUUCAUGUUCAUAUGCAACAAUUUCUAUAAUUUCAUUAUUAUUUAUAGUUUAUUCAAAACUGUCUAUUUGAGUCAUAAUCACUAAAUUAUUUAUAACUCGAGCUACGGAACUUCAAAUUAAGAUCUGUUAAUUUCCCUGAAACUAGACUCAUAUAUUUUCUUACAUAAAAUUUUCAGAAUUUUUGGUUUAGCCAAUAAGUACAGUUUAUUCUUUAAAGUCACCCCUGUUCUGCUGUUUGAUAGUUCUGACCCUUUUUCACUAAAAAUUAAUUAUAUCUUCAUACAGAAUUUAGAUGAUGUUCCCAUUUAUUUCUCUUAAAAAUAAACUUAUUAAGGAUUCUAGACAUAUAAAUUUAGGCUCCUAAUUAUUUUUAUUUAAUUUUUUAUGAUUUUUCAAAUUCAAAACAGGGGAACUCGAAUUCAUUUUGACCUUGUCUUACAAAUUUUAUUAUAUCUCAAAAUUUAUAAGAUUGCUUACAGCAUUUCUUUUAUGAGAAACUAGACUAAAUAAGCUUUAAUUUCAUAUUUUUUUCAUCUUAUAAUUUUAUUCUUACAAUUUAUGGUGAUUUUUCAAAUUUAGUCUACUGUUGCUGUCCAAUAUUGUUUUAGUGCAAGCUGUUUAUUACCAUUUUUCCCCUAAGCUUUUAAUAAAUAACAAUUUCGUCCCUACUCAAUUAGCCUCUCAAUUGAGUUGAUUUUUCUCAAUUAACACUUUAUUCUAUCACCUUAAACUAGUUUACAACCUUUAGGAAUCAAAAUUUCAGGAAUAGACUUUAAUUCCAAACAUUUUCACAAUUAAGUCCUAAAAAUCAAUUUCUAUUGAAAUUACCUAAUAAAAUCAUAUCAUAAACAAAUUAAAGCUUUAAUUUCAUUAUAUUUCAUCAUAAAAUUACAUCACUCAACUAUGGUGACUUUAAAUUUCAUCCAUGAAAUCAAAAACUAAUGAAUUUAAUAGUAGGACCUAGUUGUAAAAGUCUUAGAAACACAAAAAUUACAAGAAAAAAGCAAGAAUUAACUUACUUGGUGAAAAAAUUAUGGAAUAACAGCUUAUAGAACCCUCCUAUGGCGUUUUUAGCUGCUGGAAUUGAAGAGAAAUGAAGAGAAAUCUAGAUAUUUCCUAUUUAAUCCUAGCUUUAUUUAGUUAAUUUUGUAAUAUUCCAAUUUUUUCCUUAAUUUAUAAAUUUUCCUGCUGAUUUCAUGCCCUUGCCGUCCAGCCCAAAUAAAUUUUGGUCUAAUUUUCUUUUAAAUCCUUUCUCAUUAGACUCUUAAGCUAUUUAAUUAUUCUAGCAACUUUUACACCUAUUACAAUUUAGUCCUUUUCAUUUAAUUGACUACUCAAACAUUAAAAUUUCCUAACAAAAUUUUAAUACCACAUUACUAACAUUUUAUAAAUAUUUAUAAAAUUAUUUUCGACUCGGUCUUACAAGAUAGAGAUCCUUAUACCUUAUUUUACUCAAUUUCUUUAAUAAUUUCUUUUUCUAACUAACCACUAAAUCGGUAAAAAAAUUUUAUCAAUAUUUUAAUACGAUUUUACUAUCAUAUCAAUUUUCAUGUAAAAAUAUUGAAAUAAAUUUCUCUUUAAAUCGAAUUUGUGGUUACGAAACCACUAUUCCGAUAACCUUGAAUUUAGGCCAUUACAAUUUACUUUGAUGUGGCCUUUGGCCAACAAGCCUUCAGAUCGGCCUCAGGACUAUUAGUACGAGACGAGGAAGGAAGAAUUCUAGCAUCAAAGAUGACCAUCCACUUCGAAAUCGCAAAUUCAUUUGUGGCAGAAGCGCAUGCAAGGUUACAAGCAGUCAAGUUAGGGUUAUUCAUGGGUCUUAACAAACUGGAAAUUUUGGGAGAUUCAAAGACUGUAAUUAAAAAAUACCAGAACACAGAGAUAGACAAAUCGAACAUCGGUGCGAUCAUCAGAGAUAUCCAGCAUAAGAAAGGCAGAUUUCAAGAGAUAAAGUUUCAUUUCAUACCCAACACAGAAAAUUUCUAUGCUCAUACUCUGGAAAAAGAGGCGCUAAAGAGAGGAGAUAGCCAUUACCUGGUAAGACGACUUCUAGAUUUAGCUCGCCAAGCGUCGGAGAAAUGGAGACCUAGAGAACCGGAUUGAAAGAAAAUGAAGAUGAAUGAUCGUUUCGAAGAGGUAAUAGGAAAAAUUAAUUGCUUCCCUUGGAAACUGCUACUGUCAUAAUGUUGGAGAGGGCGUGAAAAGACAACACACCGAAGAUCCAGCUGUCGAUUUGACUGGACAAGACUUAUUAGGUUUCCUAUUUUGUUUUUUAAUUUUUCGGAUUCGUGGACCAUUUAUUUUUAUUAGGCCGGCUUUGCUAUAUGUGCAGGCUUUGUAUUUUAUUAGGGCCCUUACUUAUGGAUUUAACCCAUUUCUGUUUAGCUUGUUUAUUUUAUUAAUAAAAUUCC